AGAGCGAACGCUGGCGACAGGCCUAACACAUGCAAGUCGAACGGACCCUUCGGGGUUAGUGGCGGACGGGUGAGUAACACGUGGGAACGUGCCUUUAGGUUCGGAAUAGCUCCUGGAAACGGGUGGUAAUGCCGAAUGUGCCCUUCGGGGGAAAGAUUUAUCGCCUUUAGAGCGGCCCGCGUCUGAUUAGCUUGUUGGUGAGGUAAUGGCUCACCAAGGCUACGAUCAGUAGCUGGUCUGAGAGGAUGACCAGCCACAUUGGGACUGAGACAUGGCCCAAACUCCUACGGGAGGCAGCAGUGGGAAUCUUGCGCAAUGGGCGAAAGCCUGACGCAGCCACGCCGCGUGUAUGAUGAAGGUCUUAGGAUUGUAAAAUACUUUCACCGGUGAAGAUAAUGACUGUAGCCGGAGAAGAAGCCCGGCUAACUUCGUGCCAGCAGCCG
rnacentral:rRNA from 1 species